GGGGGAGAGGGAGAGGGAGAGAGAGAGAGAUAUUGGGAAGGAGACUGGGGCAGAGAGAAGGGAUAGAUGGGAAAACGACACACCAUGCCGGGCUGUAUUUAUUGGGGGUGUGAGUGGCGCGCUGCAGGCUGUGGGACGGUCGGCAGAGUGUAAGGUGUUGCUGUAAGGUGUGGCCGGGUUUACAGAAAGGGAGGAUGUGAUGGUGAUGGUGGAGGAAAAAAAAGAGAGAGAUGGAAGGAUUGGUCAUGCGCAAGGUCUGACAACCGGAGAGAAUUGUGAGUCUUUAAAGGGAUGAUACCCAUCGGAAUGUUGAUGGCGCUAAAUAUUUCAGAGGCGGGAUCAUCACAUGGCAAAAAGAGAACCGGGUGGAUUUUCCCAAAAGCAUUCGUGACCGCAGACCGUUGGAGGCAGCUUAGAAAUCUCUUACAUCUGAAGAGCCAUAAUUCACAGAAUUUGGGCCUGACAGCCAUGACAGGCACAGUGGCGGCCAGCAACAACUGUCUCCUGUGUUAGCAGAGUGUACGAAGGAGCGAAUGAGAGUGAGAGACAAAGAGAAGGUCAGCUUUGAGGUCAGAGUGGAGCUGGAUAGUCCGGAGGCAGCUGUGAGGAAGCGGAUAAUGGACCAGAUCAGUUCCAUCCUGGAUAACUCCUCCCAUCCGCGCCGUGAUAAACUGUGGCAGAUGGGCAGCACCUUUAACAACACACUCCUGGCUGAAUUACACGUCUGUGCCACAUUCCGCUGGCAGACACGUCACAGAG